UGUUCUCUCAACAGCUGCCACAGAAUAGCAGGAAUAUAACAGGUUAUCAUUUCUUCUUUUAAAGACCUCAAAAAUAAAACAAGAGACCCAAAUUCUCAAUUUGGAAAAUUCUCCUGUGACAUCAGUGCCCAGAGGCUUCGGAGGUGAUAAUUCCUGAGCCGAAGGUACUCUAAAGCUGUCUGGAGCCAGGAAAUAUCUGCCUAAGGAAACUAAUCCUGGUUACAUGACAACACAAAUGUCCCGGCAACUUCACAUCAGCCGUUGCUAUGGCGUCUGUGUUUUAGGACGGUACUUCCUGAGGAUUAGAGCGCUGUUUCUGAUGAGUUCUGCCUGUCUCUUCAGACUUCCAGGGAGCCAUAGGAACCAUGAGUGAUGAAAUCAGAGGGCCAUCCUGAGCCCACCCACUCUUCAAUGGCCCUGGGGAAGCUGGUCCUGUCCCUCACUGGACAUUGCAGCAAGAGAACUGGCCCCGACCCUCACUGGAGAGCUGGACCCCCCACACUCAAGAGGGAUGGCCCUGCCCCUCACCACGGGCAAGGGAGAACUGACCCUGAAGACAUGGGCUUAUGGAAACUGGCUCUGCCCUUCGCCUGAGGGAGAUGGCCCCAGUGGCCCGGAUUGGCCAGCUCAGCUAUUACUCAGUCCCACAGCUGGGUCUUGGGUUGGUUCACCCUAACAUCUACCCCAACUAGGACCUGCUGUGGAACCAUACCCACAGGAUCUCCAUGAAUUGGGGUGGCCAAGAUACCCAAGAGGAGUUUCAGUGAGGAUCCAGGAAUGAUGAUGUAUCAGAAACCAGAGGCCUUGAGCCAAACCAAUGCCAGGAUACCUUUCCAUUGAAGCUGUAAUGCUUACAAAAGGUAUCUCUGUCCCCUAGAAACUUACAAUUGUUAUUUAAAUACGUGCUUUGGGUAGGAGAGUUGUCUCAGAGGAUAAAAGUGCUUGCCAUCAACUCAUGAUCUGAAUUCCAUCCCCAGAUUCCACAUGAUAGGAGAGAAAAGUUGACCUCUGAUCUCCAGAAGUGCACAGUGUAUACACACACACACACACACACACACACACACACACACACACACACACGAAUUAAUGUGAAAAAUAAACACAGUUGAUGGGCUGGGGAGUUGACUCAGUAGGUAGAGUUCUUGCUGUGCAAGCUUGAGGACCUGAGUUUGGAUCCCGAAGGCUCUCUCUGGCCUCCACACACACAGGCAAAUGCACGGACGAGCACAUACACACAACACAAGUAAAGGGAAGGAAGAACUGCAAAUGAUCCGGAAGCACAUUUAAAAUUCACUAGAAAUCCAGGAAAUGAAACCCGAUGACAGAGAGCCCGCGUUCACCUGUGGGACUCACGAACAUUUCUCUACCAUUCAGGAAAGCAUGCAUUUUUAAUGCUCCUAGAGGGGUGUAAAGUGGUGUGACUUCUCAGAAAGGACAUCUGGCAACAGGAAGUAAAAUCCUCAGAAGGUUCAUAACUUUCUCUACUGGAAUUUCCAUAAUUAAGAAAUAAACAUUAUACUUUAUAAUAGGCAAAAACUGGAAACUAUCCAAACGUUCGGUGAUACAGCAUUGACUGAGUUAUUGAAUAUUCAUUAGUAAAAUGUGUGCAGAAAUUAAACACCAUGUUUUCAAAAAACAAAUUUCACAAUGUUCACACCAUAUUGUUGAAUAAAAAGCAGAUGACUAUACAACUGCGCAUAGCAUGAGCUCGAAAGUUGCACAUAUAUCCAUAAAUUUUAAGAUUGUUGCAUAUUUCCGUGUUCUUCUAAAAUC